UGGUAACAUUUUCUUUACCGUGCUACUC
rnacentral:piRNA from 1 species